rnacentral:rRNA from 1 species
AUUGAACGCUGGCGGCAGGCCUAACACAUGCAAGUCGAGCGAGCGGCGGACGGGUGAGUAAUGUAUGGGGAUCUGCCCGAUAGAGGGGGAUAACUACUGGAAACGGUGGCUAAUACCGCAUACUAUAGGAUGAACCCAUAUGGGAUUAGCUAGUAGGUGGGGUAAAGGCUCACCUAGGCGACGAUCUCUAGCUGGUCUGAGAGGAUGACCAGCAACACUGGAACUGAGACACGGUCCAGACGCCUACGGGAGGCAGCAGUGGGGAAUAUUGCACAAUGGGCGCAAGCCUGAUGCAGCCAUGCCGCGUGUAUGAAGAAGGCCUUCGGGUUGUAAAGUACUUUCAGCGGGGAGGCGUUACCCGCAGAAGAAGCACCGGCUAACUCCGUGCCAGCAGCCGCGGUAAUAC